rfam:Ictidomys tridecemlineatus contig086357, whole genome shotgun sequence.
GGGUUUGUGGCUCAAUGGUAGAGCGCUUGCCUGGCACGUGUGAGGCACUGGGUUCUAUCCUCAGCACCA